rnacentral:rRNA from 1 species
CAGUCGCCACGGUAAAACGGAGGGUGCAAGCGUUAAUCUGAAUUACUGGGCGUAAAGCGCACGCAGGCGGUCUGUCAAGUCGGAUGUGAAAUCCCCGGGCUCAACCUGGGAACUGCAUUCGAAACUGGCAGGCUAGAGUCUUGUAGAGGGGGGUAGAAUUCCAGGUGUAGCGGUGAAAUGCGUAGAGAUCUGGAGGAAUACCGGUGGCGAAGGCGGCCCUCUGGACAAAGACUGACGCUCAGGUGCGAAAGCGUGGGGAGCAAACAGGAUUAGAUACCCCUGUAGUCCCUGUCUCUUAUAC